AGGACGAACGCUGGCGGCGUGCUUAACACAUGCAAGUCGAACGGUGAACCUCCCUUCGGGGAGGGGAUCAGUGGCGAACGGGUGAGUAACACGUGAGCAACCUGCCCCUAGUUCUGGGAUAACCCCGGGAAACCGGAGCUAAUACCGGAUACGAGACCAAGUGGCAUCACAAGGUCUGGAAAGUUUUUCGACUAGGGAUGGGCUCGCGGCCUAUCAGCUUGUUGGUGAGGUAACGGCCCACCAAGGCGACGACGGGUA
rnacentral:rRNA from 1 species